rnacentral:rRNA from 1 species
GAUGAACGCUGGCAGAAUGCUUAACACAUGCAAGUCUUUCGCGAAGCUGUGCUUGCACAGCCUAGCCAAGGCGGACGGGUGAGUAACGCGUAAGGAACUUGCCCUGCAGUCAGGUAUAACAGACGGACACGACUGAUAAGACCUGGUAAAGUCAGGCGGACUCAUGUCCAGCCUGAUGAAAAGAGAUGCUGCAGGAGAGCCUUGCGUCCUAUUAGCUUGUUGGUGGGGUAACGGCCCACCAAGGCGAUGAGAGGUAGCCGGCCGGAGAUGAUGGACGGCCACAAGGGGACUGAGAUACGGCCGUGACGCCUAUGGGAGGCAGCAGUGGGGAAUAUUGGAGAAUGGGGGCAACCCUGAUCCAGCAAUUCUGUGUGCACGAUGAAGGUUUUCGGAUUGUAAAGUGCUUUCAGAAGGGAAGAAAAAAAUGACGGUACCUGCAGAAGAAGCGACGGCUAACUACGUG